GUUUGACUCUUUUCAUCGACAGCAAUUUGGCAUGCAAACACGUGGGGCCUCAGAGAAGACUCAGGACCUUGAAGGAGUUGCCCAACUCAGAGCUAUGGUACUAGCAGGGGUCCACUGAAGCCUCCGCAAGUUGCAGCUUCUCCUCUGGUAAAACUGGAAAUGUUAAUUGGACAUGCUAAAUGGGAACUAGUAAAAUCGCCUCAGCCCACAAAGUAUAGGGUAGAAGCUGGAGUGCUAAUCAGGACAGAUCCUCCACUGCACAGUCCUUUGUGUGGAGCAUUUAUCAGGGAUAAUGGCAAAAAAACGGAAACAAAAAUCAUGGCAUUUUGAAGACCAGAGAUAUGAAUCUCCUUCAUCUGGCGUCCCACUGGGCUGGAAUCCUUUUCACUGAGAAAG
rnacentral:lncRNA from 1 species